UACGUAGGGCGCGAGCGUUGUCCGGAAUUCUUGGGCGUAAAGAGCUCGUAGGCGGCCUGUUGCGUCCGCUGUGAAAGCCCGGGGCUUAACCCCGGGUCGGCAGUGGAUACGGGCAGGCUAGAGGUAGGUAGGGGAGAAUGGAAUUCCCGGUGUAGCGGUGAAAUGCGCAGAUAUCGGGAGGAACACCGGUGGCGAAGGCGGUUCUCUGGGCCUUACCUGACGCUGAGGAGCGAAAGCGUGGGGAGCGAACAGG
rnacentral:rRNA from 1 species